AUUGAACGCUGGCGGCAUGCCUUACACAUGCAAGUCGAACGGCAGCACGGGAGCAAUCCUGGUGGCGAGUGGCGAACGGGUGAGUAAUAUAUCGGAACGUGCCCAGUCGUGGGGGAUAACGUAGCGAAAGCUACGCUAAUACCGCAUACGAUCUAUGGAUGAAAGCGGGGGAUCGCAAGACCUCGCGCGAUUGGAGCGGCCGAUAUCAGAUUAGGUAGUUGGUGAGGUAAAGGACUCGCCAAGCCGACGAUCUGUAGCUGGUCU
rnacentral:rRNA from 1 species